rnacentral:antisense_RNA from 1 species
CGGAUUUGGUGACUGUUCCCGCAUGGUUCAGUUACCUUGGUUAAGCAGUUCCCCAACUGACUUAACCUUCGAAAAAACCACCCUAACAGGUGGUUUUUUCGU